UACGAAGGUGGCAAGCGUUGUUCGGAUUCACUGGGCGUACAGGGAGCGUAGGCGGUUGGGUAAGCCCUCCGUGAAAUCUCCGGGCCUAACCCGGAAAGUGCAGAGGGGACUGCUCAGCUAGAGGAUGGGAGAGGAGCGCGGAAUUCCCGGUGUAGCGGUGAAAUGCGUAGAGAUCGGGAGGAAGGCCGGUGGCGAAGGCGGCGCUCUGGAACAUUUCUGACGCUGAGGCUCGAAAGC
rnacentral:rRNA from 1 species